ensembl:piRNA 21ur-2635 ncRNA
UGCUACGCGAAUGUUAUUGCU